rnacentral:rRNA from 1 species
GAUGAACGCUAGCUACAGGCUUAACACAUGCAAGUCGAGGGGUAACAAGAGAAAAGCUUGCUUUUUUUGUUGACGACCGGCGCACGGGUGAGUAACGCGUAUCCAACUUGCCUAUAACUAGGGAAUAACCUUGCGAAAGUAAGACUAAUACCCUAUGAUUUCCUUUGAUGACAUCAGAUUAGGAAUAAAGAUUUAUCGGUUAUAGAUGGGGAUGCGUCUGAUUAGCUUGUUGGCGGGGUAACGGCCCACCAAGGCAACGAUCGGUAGGGGUUCUGAUAGGAAGGUCCCCCACAUUGGAACUGAGACACGGUCCAAACUCCUACGGGAGGCAGCAGUGAGGAAUAUUAGUCAAUGGGCGGAAGCCUGAACCAGCCAAGUAUCGUGCAGGAUGACGGCCCUAUGGGUUGUAAACUGCUUUUAUACAGGAAUAAAGUUAGCCACGUGUGGUUAUUUGUAGGUACUGUGUGAAUAAGGACCGGCUAAUUCCGUGCCAGCCGCCGCCGUAA